rnacentral:lncRNA from 1 species
AAAAAUAUAAUUAGUAAAUAAAUAUUGAGUCCAUUUAGAUUGCUAUUAACAGUAUUUGAAAUGUUAUCAAGUUUACCACCGUUAGAUCUAUUCGUAAUCAAUUGCAUCUUUUGAAUCAUGUUAUUUUACUAACACCAGUUAUAUUCUAGAGAAUCACUAUCGUAUAUUCUAAUUCUACAAUUUUUCAUCCUAAGAUUAAAACUUAAUAACCGACCGUUCCUAGAGCAAAUAACAAAGCACUUGAUGGUUGGUAUCCAAGGUCUCAAGUUUGAAUCCUAAUUGAUUCCUAUUUCUAGCUAAGUUUAUUUCUAUAAAUAAAAUAAACGAAGUGGUUACCGUGCUACCUACCUCUCAAAAAAAAAAAAGAAACUUAAUAGUAUUCAUAUCUAGAAACUAUUAAAAAUAUUCUAAUCCAACUCAACAAAUAUUUUACAAAAAAACUUAAAAAAAUAGUUUUAUAUAAUU